UACGGGGGGAGCAAGCGUUGUUCGGAUUUACUGGGCGUAAAGGGCGCGUAGGCGGCCAGCACAAGUCAGUUGUGAAAUCUCCGAGCUUAGCUCGGAAAGGUCAACUGAUACUGUGCGGCUAGAGUGGCGGAAGGGGCAACUGGAAUUCUUGGUGUAGCGGUGAAAUGCGUAGAUAUCAAGAGGAACACCUGCGGCGAAGGCGGGUUGCUGGGCCGACACUGACGCUGAGGCGCGAAAGCGUGGGGAGCAAACAGG
rnacentral:rRNA from 1 species